rnacentral:rRNA from 1 species
CCCUAUGGGGUGCAGCAGUUACGAAACCUCUACAAUGCACGCAAGUGUGAUAGGGGGAUCCCUCGUGCAAUCCAUUCGGAUUGCUUUUUUAGAGUGUACAAAGCUCUGAGAAUAAGGGGUGGGCAAGACCGGUGCCAGCCGCCGCGGUAAUCCCGGCGCCCCAAGUGGUGAUCACGAUUAUUGGGCCUAAAGCAUCCGUAGCUGGUUUAGUAAGUCUCUGGUGAAAUUUGGCAGCUUAACUGUCGAGCCUGCUGGAGAUACUGCUUUACUUGAGACCGGGAGAAGCUAGAGGUAUUCUGGGGGGAGCGGUAAAAUGUUUUAAUCCUCAGAGGACCAUCAGUGGCGAAGGCGUCUAGCUAGAACGGGUCUGACAGUGAGGGAUGAAAGCUAGGGGAGCAAACGGGAUUAGAUACCCCGGUAGUCCUAGCCGUAAACGCUGCUUGCCAGAUGUUGCGUAUUUUUCGAGAAUAUGCAGCGUCGUAACGAAGGUGUUAAGCAAGCCGCCUGGGAAGUACGGUCGCAAGGCUGAAACUUAAAGGAAUUGGCGGGGAGACACUACAAGGGGUGAAUGCUGCGGUUUAAUUGGAUUAUACGCCCGGAACCUUACCAGAGGCGACAGCAGGAUGAAGGUCAGUCUGAAUGGCUCACUCGACACGCUGAGAGGUGGUGCAUGGCCAAU